CCAGCUGGUUGUGCGAUGGGACAGGAGGGGCAGCCCGCCGGGAGGGAGGGCUGGGUGGUGGGGGGGUGACCACAGGCACCGCUCUGACGCCACAUGUUACAGCACAGACCAGGUGAAGGGUGUGCUGACUCUGCAGGGGGAUGCCCUCAGCCAGGCGGUGAGUCCCCCGGCCCUGUCCCCUCCCAUCCUGCCAAUGGGGAAGAGCAUGGGAGCUCCCACUUUCUCUCUGUACAAGCCCUGCGACUCUGGGCGGGACCCUUGAUCUCUCUGGCCUCAGUUUUCUCCUUUGGAAAAUGACAGCAACCCUCACACCUUCUCCCGGGAUCGGUGUGCAGAUUCAGUAAGAGGUGCAGGAGAGGGGUUCUUUGCACACGGCCUGGCCUGGCGUCCGGACCAGUGAAACAUGGGCAUUGGUGGAUUAGGCUGGCCACACAUCACAGUUGAAUCAGCCAAUGCCUGAACUCCAGUCUGCACCCGACUCUGUGCCAGGCACCAAGGCGUGGGGGGAGGCCCCCCUCCUGGGCUCCAUCUGUUGCCCUUUGUAGACACUAGAUGCACCCCGUUCGCACAGAGCCUCACAGAGGCUGCCUUUCCUCUUCCCCUUCCCCUUUCUUCACCUCUUUCCAUUUCACUUCUUUGUGGCUCUUCUUGGGCCUGGUUUCCUGUUUCCUGACCUCCCUGUUCAACCCCCAAACGGCCAAGGCAUUGGGAGACCCUCUGCCCUAUACAGCGGCCAAGGCCUGAACCACCACACACCCCAUUUCUGCCCUGGGCUUAAGGGCUCAGAGUGGCUGUGGCAGGAGGUGCCCCCCCACUGCCCAGCUCACCCCACUCUUGCCUGUCAGGAUGUGAACCUGAAGAUGCCCCGGAACAACCAGCUGCUGCACUUCGCCUUCCGGGAGGACAAGCAGUGGAAGCUGCAGCAGAUCCAGGAUGCCAGAAACCAUGUGAGCCAAGCCAUUUACCUGCUUACCAGCCGGGACCAGAGCUACCAGUUCAAGACGGGCGCUGAGGUCCUCAAGCUGAUGGACGCAGUGAUGCUGCAGCUGACCAGAGCCCGAAACCGGCUCACCACCCCCGCCACCCUCACCCUCCCCGAGAUCGCCGCCAGCGGCCUCACGCGGAUGUUCGCCCCUGCCCUGCCGUCCGACCUGCUGGUCAACGUCUACAUCAACCUCAACAAGCUCUGCCUCACGGUGUACCAGCUGCAUGCCCUGCAGCCCAACUCCACCAAGAACUUCCGCCCAGCUGGGGGCGCGGUGCUGCAUAGCCCUGGGGCCAUGUUCGAGUGGGGCUCUCAGCGCCUGGAGGUGAGCCACGUGCACAAAGUGGAGUGCGUGAUCCCCUGGCUCAACGACGCCCUGGUCUACUUCACCGUCUCCCUGCAGCUCUGCCAGCAGCUCAAGGACAAGUGUCGUGAGGAUGAAAUGAACUGAUCAUCGAUGUCAGAGCCGUCGAAGCAUGAUGGAAGGCUCACAGAAACGUGCACUGAAUGCCCUGUGCUAUUAUCGCCGUGUUGACGUGUGAUUCCAUCCAGGCUUUUGUCCUCUUCCACCAUAGUCACGCUGCAUAGAUCGUUUUUUCCCUGGCUUUUGCCAGUCAACACCACCGGGAGCACCUUCCAGAUGACAGCAUGCUUUCUGCAAACUACUCCUUUGACGGCACUUACAUGGUGCAGUCCCUACUGGCACCCAGUGAGGCUCCUCCCCUCACCGCCACGAUUUUCAGAAUUAGACCAUCGCUCACAUGGGAGGAUUUUCCUGGAGAAAGUGUUUUCUCUGCACAGAGGCGCAUUUCCUUAGGGGACAUCCCCAGAGGGCAAAGCGGGCUGGGCAAGUCCACGAUGGUGAACACGCUGUUCAAGUCCAAAGUGUGGAAGUCAAACCCACCGGGCUUGGGGGUGCCCACACCCCAGACGCUGCAGCUGCAUUCACUGACCCAUGUCAUAGAGGAGAAGGGUGUGAAGCUGAAGCUGACGGUGACGGACACGCCCGGCUUCGGGGACCAGAUCAACAAUGACAACUGGACCGAAUCCCUUUUGCCGUGGUAGGGGCUGACCAAGAGCACCUGGUGAACGGGAGGUGUGUCCUGGGCCGGAAGACCAAGUGGGGCAUCAUUGAAGUGGAGAACAUGGCGCACUGUGAAUUUCCUCUCCUGAGAGACCUGCUUAUCCGCUCCCACCUCCAAGACCUGAAGGACAUAACCCACAACAUCCACUAUGAGAACUACCGCGU
ensembl:lncRNA novel transcript